GGGUGAGAGAGAAACCAUCCAUAUCGUAAACCCUAACGUCCACCACCCGUCUAAAUGAGACGAGGCAUAAUAAGAGGGCUAGUUUGGCUGAAAGUUUUUCCAGUGACCAACAAGGAUUGUCCGGCCAUACACUAAGGAAUCUCAGUACCACAUCCACCUGCCAGAGGCGUGAAUACUUGGGUGCCGGGGUCUCGACAAUUCGGCACCCCGUAGUAGUCAACAAACCAGUGUAUCUUGACCUACUGGUCUGCCCUGU